UACGGAGGGUGCAAACGUUGCUCGGAAUCAUUGGGCGUAAAGCGCACGUAGGCGGCUCGUUAAGUCGGAUGUGAAAGCCCCCGGGCUCAACCCGGGAAGUGCACUCGAAACUGGCGAGCUUGAGUAUGGAAGAGGGUCUCGGAAUUCCCGGUGUAGAGGUGAAAUUCGUAGAUAUCGGGGAGGAACACCAGUGGCGAAGGCGGGAGACCGUGGGCCAAUACGUGACGCGUGAGGUGCGAAAGCGUGGG
rnacentral:rRNA from 1 species